AGUGAACGCUGGCGGUAGGCCUAACACAUGCAAGUCGAACGGCAGCACAGGAGAGCUUGCUCUCUGGGUGGCGAGUGGCGGACGGGUGAGGAAUACAUCGGAAUCUACUUUUUCGUGGGGGAUAACGUAGGGAAACUUACGCUAAUACCGCAUACGACCUACGGGUGAAAGCAGGGGAACUUCGGGCCUUGCGCGAUUGACUGAGCCGAGGUCGGAUUAGCUAGUUGGCGGGGUAAAGGCCCACCCAGGCGACGAUCCGUAGCUGGUCUGAGAGGAUGAGCAGCCACACUGGAACUGAGACACGGUCCAGACUCCUACGGGAGGCAGCAGUGGGGAAUAUUGGACAAUGGGCGCAAGCCUGAUCCAGCCAUACCGCGUGGGUGAAGAAGGCCUUCGGGUUGUAAAGCCCUUUUGUUGGGAAAGAAAUCCAGCUGGCUAAUACCCGGUUGGGAUGACGGUACCCAAAGAAUAAGCACCGGCUAACUUCGUGCCAGCCGCCGCAGUAA
rnacentral:rRNA from 1 species